AGUGAACGCUGGCGGUAGGCCUAACACAUGCAAGUCGAACGGCAGCACAGUAAGAGCUUGCUCUUACGGGUGGCGAGUGGCGGACGGGUGAGGAAUACAUCGGACUCUACUUUUUCGUGGAGGAUAACGUAGGGAAACUUACGCUAAUACCGCAUACGACGUACGGGUGAAAGCAGGGGAUCUUCGGACCUUGCGCGAUUGAAUGAGCCGCUGUCGGAUUAGCUAGUUGGCGGGGUAAAGGCCCACCAAGGCGACGAUCCGUAGCUGGUCUGAGAGGAUGAUCAGCCACACUGGAACGGGAACACGGUCCAGACUCCUACGGGAGGCAGCAGUGGGGAAUAUUGGACAAUGGGCGCAAGCCUGGUCCAGCCAUACCGCGUGGGUGAAGAAGGCCUUCGGGUUGUAAAGCCCUUUUGUUGGGAAAGAAAAGCAGCAGGUUAAUACCCCGCUGUUCUGACGGUACCCAAAGAAUAAGCACCGGCUAACUUCGUG
rnacentral:rRNA from 1 species